rnacentral:rRNA from 1 species
UACAGAGGUCUCAAGCGUUGUUCGGAUUCAUUGGGCGUAAAGGGCGCGUAGGCGGCGGGGUAAGUCUGGUGUGAAAUCUAGGAGCUCAACUCCUAAACUGCACUGGAUACUGCUCUGCUAGAGGACUGGAGAGGAGACUGGAAUUCACGGUGUAGCAGUGAAAUGCGUAGAUAUCGUGAGGAAGACCAGUGGCGAAGGCGGGUCUCUGGACAGUUCCUGACGCUGAGGCACGAAGGUCAGGGGAGCAAACGGG